UAAGCGACUAAGCGUACACGGUGGAUGCCCUGGCAGUCAGAGGCGAUGAAGGACGUGCUAAUCUGCGAUAAGCGUCGGUAAGGUGAUAUGAACCGUUAUAACCGGCGAUUUCCGAAUGGGGAAACCCAGUGUGAUUCGUCACACUAUCAUUAACUGAAUCCAUAGGUUAAUGAGGCGAACCGGGGGAACUGAAACAUCUAAGUACCCCGAGGAAAAGAAAUCAACCGAGAUUCCCCCAGUAGCGGCGAGCGAACGGGGAGCAGCCCAGAGCCUGAAUCAGUGUGUGUGUUAGUGGAAGCGUCUGGAAAGGCGCGCGAUACAGGGUGACAGCCCCGUACACAAAAAUGCACAUGCUGUGAGCUCGAUGAGUAGGGCGGGACACGUGGUAUCCUGUCUGAAUAUGGGGGGACCAUCCUCCAAGGCUAAAUACUCCUGACUGACCGAUAGUGAACCAGUACCGUGAGGGAAAGGCGAAAAGAACCCCGGCGAGGGGAGUGAAAAAGAACCUGAAACCGUGUACGUACAAGCAGUGGGAGCCUCUUUAUGGGGUGACUGCGUACCUUUUGUAUAAUGGGUCAGCGACUUAUAUUCUGUAGCAAGGUUAACCGAAUAGGGGAGCCGAAGGGAAACCGAGUCUUAACUGGGCGUUAAGUUGCAGGGUAUAGACCCGAAACCCGGUGAUCUAGCCAUGGGCAGGUUGAAGGUUGGGUAACACUAACUGGAGGACCGAACCGACUAAUGUUGAAAAAUUAGCGGAUGACUUGUGGCUGGGGGUGAAAGGCCAAUCAAACCGGGAGAUAGCUGGUUCUCCCCGAAAGCUAUUUAGGUAGCGCCUCGUGAAUUCAUCUCCGGGGGUAGAGCACUGUUUCGGCAAGGGGGUCAUCCCGACUUACCAACCCGAUGCAAACUGCGAAUACCGGAGAAUGUUAUCACGGGAGACACACGGCGGGUGCUAACGUCCGUCGUGAAGAGGGAAACAACCCAGACCGCCAGCUAAGGUCCCAAAGUCAUGGUUAAGUGGGAAACGAUGUGGGAAGGCCCAGACAGCCAGGAUGUUGGCUUAGAAGCAGCCAUCAUUUAAAGAAAGCGUAAUAGCUCACUGGUCGAGUCGGCCUGCGCGGAAGAUGUAACGGGGCUAAACCAUGCACCGAAGCUGCGGCAGCGACGCUUAUGCGUUGUUGGGUAGGGGAGCGUUCUGUAAGCCUGCGAAGGUGUGCUGUGAGGCAUGCUGGAGGUAUCAGAAGUGCGAAUGCUGACAUAAGUAACGAUAAAGCGGGUGAAAAGCCCGCUCGCCGGAAGACCAAGGGUUCCUGUCCAACGUUAAUCGGGGCAGGGUGAGUCGACCCCUAAGGCGAGGCCGAAAGGCGUAGUCGAUGGGAAACAGGUUAAUAUUCCUGUACUUGGUGUUACUGCGAAGGGGGGACGGAGAAGGCUAUGUUGGCCGGGCGACGGUUGUCCCGGUUUAAGCGUGUAGGCUGGUUUUCCAGGCAAAUCCGGAAAAUCAAGGCUGAGGCGUGAUGACGAGGCACUACGGUGCUGAAGCAACAAAUGCCCUGCUUCCAGGAAAAGCCUCUAAGCAUCAGGUAACAUCAAAUCGUACCCCAAACCGACACAGGUGGUCAGGUAGAGAAUACCAAGGCGCUUGAGAGAACUCGGGUGAAGGAACUAGGCAAAAUGGUGCCGUAACUUCGGGAGAAGGCACGCUGAUAUGUAGGUGAAGUCCCUCGCGGAUGGAGCUGAAAUCAGUCGAAGAUACCAGCUGGCUGCAACUGUUUAUUAAAAACACAGCACUGUGCAAACACGAAAGUGGACGUAUACGGUGUGACGCCUGCCCGGUGCCGGAAGGUUAAUUGAUGGGGUCAGCGCAAGCGAAGCUCUUGAUCGAAGCCCCGGUAAACGGCGGCCGUAACUAUAACGGUCCUAAGGUAGCGAAAUUCCUUGUCGGGUAAGUUCCGACCUGCACGAAUGGCGUAAUGAUGGCCAGGCUGUCUCCACCCGAGACUCAGUGAAAUUGAACUCGCUGUGAAGAUGCAGUGUACCCGCGGCAAGACGGAAAGACCCCGUGAACCUUUACUAUAGCUUGACACUGAACAUUGAGCCUUGAUGUGUAGGAUAGGUGGGAGGCUUGGAAGUGUGGACGCCAGUCUGCAUGGAGCCGACCUUGAAAUACCACCCUUUAAUGUUUGAUGUUCUAACGUUGACCCGUAAUCCGGGUUGCGGACAGUGUCUGGUGGGUAGUUUGACUGGGGCGGUCUCCUCCUAAAGAGUAACGGAGGAGCACGAAGGUUGGCUAAUCCUGGUCGGACAUCAGGAGGUUAGUGCAAUGGCAUAAGCCAGCUUGACUGCGAGCGUGACGGCGCGAGCAGGUGCGAAAGCAGGUCAUAGUGAUCCGGUGGUUCUGAAUGGAAGGGCCAUCGCUCAACGGAUAAAAGGUACUCCGGGGAUAACAGGCUGAUACCGCCCAAGAGUUCAUAUCGACGGCGGUGUUUGGCACCUCGAUGUCGGCUCAUCACAUCCUGGGGCUGAAGUAGGUCCCAAGGGUAUGGCUGUUCGCCAUUUAAAGUGGUACGCGAGCUGGGUUUAGAACGUCGUGAGACAGUUCGGUCCCUAUCUGCCGUGGGCGCUGGAGAACUGAGGGGGGCUGCUCCUAGUACGAGAGGACCGGAGUGGACGCAUCACUGGUGUUCGGGUUGUCAUGCCAAUGGCACUGCCCGGUAGCUAAAUGCGGAAGAGAUAAGUGCUGAAAGCAUCUAAGCACGAAACUUGCCCCGAGAUGAGUUCUCCCUGACCCUUUAAGGGUCCUGAAGGAACGUUGAAGACGACGACGUUGAUAGGCCGGGUGUGUAAGCGCAGCGAUGCGUUGAGCUAACCGGUACUAAUGAACCGUGAGGCUUAACCU
rnacentral:rRNA from 1 species